CUUAAAGGUGCUGAACGAUGUUGUU
rnacentral:piRNA from 1 species